CCCUACGGGAGGCAGCAGUGGGGGAUAUUGCACAAUGGGCGCAAGCCUGAUGCAGCGACGCCGCGUGUGGGAAGACGGUCCUCGGAUUGUAAACCACUGGCUUUGGGGACGAUAAUGACGGUACCCAAGGAGGAAGCUCCGGCUAACUACGUGCCAGCAGCCGCGGUAAUACGUAGGGAGCGAGCGUUGUCCGGAAUUACUGGGUGUAAAGGGAGCGUAGGCGGGAUAUCAAGUUGAAUGUGAAAUCUACCGGCUCAACCGGUGAUCGCGUUCAAAACUGCAGGUCUUGAGUGAAAUAGAGGCAG
rnacentral:rRNA from 1 species